rnacentral:snRNA from 1 species
GUAUGAGAGGGCAAUCUGGCAUGAUAGUUCUUAGCCAACCAAUUGCGAGGAUUGGUUUAGCUAAUUUGGUUGGACAUGUGAUUAGAGCUUCUUCCCUCACCAGUCCGUGAGCAUUCCCCCUGAAAUUCAGUCAGUUGAGCAUGACCUACUCCAUAGCUUAGGCAGAGGUAUGUGAGUGGCUUCCAUCCCCUGCUAAAACCUCAAUGCAAGAUCAUAAGAAAAUAUGAAAAAUCUUCCUGCCUUCUCUUCCACAUUGAUCAUUGAAACUUCAGGGAGGUGUUUGGU